UACGGAGGGUGCGAGCGUUGUCCGGAAUCACUGGGCGUAAAGGGCGCGUAGGUGGCGGAGCAAGUCAACGGUGAAAGCUCGACGCUCAACGUCGAGUCGGCCGUCGCAUACUGCUUUGCUCGAGCACUGUAGAGGCAGAUGGAAUUCCGGGUGGUAGCGGUGGAAUGCGUAGAGAUCCGGAAGAACACCGGUGGCGAAGGCGGUCCUC
rnacentral:rRNA from 1 species